rnacentral:rRNA from 1 species
CCUACGGGAGGCAGCAGUGGGGGAUAUUGCACAAUGGGGGAAACCCUGAUGCAGCGACGCCGCGUGGGUGAAGAAGUAUUUCGGUAUGUAAAGCCCUAUCAGCAGGGAAGAAAGAAGACGGUACCUGACUAAGAAGCCCCGGCUAACUACGUGCCAGCAGCCGCGGUAAUACGUAGGGGGCGAGCGUUAUCCGGAUUCACUGGGUGUAAAGGGAGCGUAGACGGCCGUUCGAGCCAGGAGUGAAAGCCCGGGGCCCAACCCCGGGACUGCUCUUGGAACUGUGCGGCUGGAGUGCGGGAGGGGCAGGCGGAAUUCCGGGUGUAGCGGUGAAAUGCGUAGAUAUCAGGAGGAACACCGGCGGCGAAGGCGGCCUGCUGGACCGCGACUGACGUUGAGGCUCGAAAGCGUGGGGAGCGAACAGGAUUAGAUACCCGAGUAGUC